rnacentral:rRNA from 1 species
UCGGCUUAGAGUUUGAUCCUGGCUCACGACGAACGCUGGCGGCGUGCCUAAUACAUGCAAGUCGAACGAAUUGGUGCUUGCAUCAUUGAGUGGCGAACUGGUGAGUAACACGUGGGAAACCUGCCCAGAAGCGGGGGAUAACACCUGGAAACAGAUGCUAAUACCGCAUAACAACUUACCGCACGGUCGAGCUGAAAGAUGUUCGUAUCACUUUUGGAUGGUCCCGCGGCGUAUUAGCUAGAUGGUGGGGUAAUGGCUCACCAUGGCAAUGAUACGUAGCCGACCUGAGAGGGUAAUCGGCCACAUUGGGACUGAGACACGGCCCAAACUCCUACGGGAGGCAGCAGUAGGGAAUCUUCCACAAUGGACGAAAGUCUGAUGGAGCAACGCCUCGUGAGUGAAGAAGGGUUUCGGCUCGUAAAACUCUGUUGUUAAAGAAGAACAUAUCUGAGGUAAUUCAGGUAUUGACGGUAUUUAACCAGAAAACCACGGCUAACUACGUGCCACCAGCCGCGGUAAUACGUACGUGGCAAGCGUUGUCCGGAUUUAUUGGGCGUAAAGCGAGCGCAGGCGGUUUUUUAAGUCUGAUGUGAAGCCUUCGGCUCAACCGAAGAAGUGCAUCGGAA